rnacentral:rRNA from 1 species
GACGAACGCUGGCGGCGUGCCUAAUACAUGCAAGUAGAACGCUGAAGAGAGGAGCUUGCUCUUCUUGGAUGAGUUGCGAACGGGUGAGUAACGCGUAGGUAACCUGCCUUGUAGCGGGGGAUAACUAUUGGAAACGAUAGCUAAUACCGCAUAACAAUGGAUGACACAUGUCAUUUAUUUGAAAGGGGCAAUUGCUCCACUACAAGAUGGACCUGCGUUGUAUUAGCUAGUAGGUGAGGUAACGGCUCACCUAGGCGACGAUACAUAGCCGACCUGAGAGGGUGAUCGGCCACACUGGGACUGAGACACGGCCCAGACUCCCACGGGAGGCAGCAGUAGGGAAUCUUCGGCAAUGGGGGCAACCCUGACCGAGCAACGCCGCGUGAGUGAAGAAGGUUUUCGGAUCGUAAAGCUCUGUUGUAAGUCAAGAACGAGUGUGAGAGUGGAAAGUUCACACUGUGACGGUAGCUUACCAGAAAGGGACGGCUAACUACGUGCCAGCAGCCGCGGUAAUACGUAGGUCCCGAGCGUUGUCCGGAUUUAUUGGGCGUAAAGCGAGCGCAGGCGGUUUGAUAAGUCUGAAGUUAAAGGCUGUGGCUCAACCAUAGUUCGCUUUGGAAACUGUCAAACUUGAGUGCAGAAGGGGAGAGUGGAAUUCCAUGUGUAGCGGUGAAAUGCGUAGAUAUAUGGAGGAACACCGGUGGCGAAAGCGGCUCUCUGGUCUGUAACUGACGCUGAGGCUCGAAAGCGUGGGGAGCGAACAGG